GAACGGAUGUUGUAGAAGCAUUGAGGCAAAGACCAUUAGGCGACGAAGCUAAAAGUCACUUGAUAGAACGUUUCAACAGAGGACACUCUUCCGCUUCAGCUUAUCACACUUUUUGUGCCGAAAAAAUGGAAGUAUACGGAGAUGAUUAUGAAAAUAUUUUAUAUGAUAGGUUUUACAUACCAAGUAAAAACGAUGUCGUCAAUUUGUGGAAGAAGAAGUUAAAGAAGAAGUUAAAGAGGACUUUGGUGAAAGAACUGGUAGUCACAUGUUAGAAAAACUAGAAGAAACAUUAGCGAGACAUAAAGAAAGCAAUAAUGUGCUUUACAAAAUAUCCCGUUUUUGUGAAGACUAUGCUGUCGCUAUUUGUACUCCAUUGAUGCAGCGCGCACUAGAACUAGAACAAGCUAACGAAAUCAUGUUUUUAGACGCUUCUGGUAACAGUGACGUUUAAACCACAAA
rnacentral:lncRNA from 1 species